UAGGGAAUAUUGGACAAUGGGGGCAACCCUGAUCCAGCCAUGCCGCGUGAGUGAAGAAGGCCCUCGGGUUGUAAAGCUCUUUUGUCCGGAAAGAAAAGCUUCGGGUUAAUACCCCGGGGUUCUGACGGUACCGGAAGAAUAAGCACCGGCUAACUUCGUGCCAGCAGCCGCGGUAAUACGAAGGGUGCAAGCGUUACUCGGAAUUACUGGGCGUAAAGCGUGCGUAGGUGGUUGUUUAAGUCUGAUGUGAAAGCCCUGGGCUCAACCUGGGAAUGGCAUUGGAAACUGGGCAGCCAGAGGGCGGUAGAGGGUAGUGGAAUUCCCCGUGUAGCAGUGAAAUGCGCAGAGAUCGGGAGGAACAUCUGUGGCGAAGGCGACUGCCUGGACCAGCACUGACACUGAGGCACGAAAGCGUGG
rnacentral:rRNA from 1 species